GAUGAACGCUAGCUACAGGCUUAACACAUGCAAGUCGAGGGGAAACGGCAUCGAAAGCUUGCUUUUGAUGGGCGUCGACCGGCGCACGGGUGAGUAACGCGUAUCCAACCUGCCCAUCACUUGGGAAUAACCUUGCGAAAGUAAGACUAAUGCCCAAUGACAUCCCACGAAGGCAUCCGAAUGGGAUUAAAGAUUUAUCGGUGAUGGAUGGCGAUGCGUCUGAUUAGCUUGUUGGCGGGGUGACGGCCCACCAAGGCAACGAUCAGUAGGGGUUCUGAGAGGCAGGCCCCCCACAUUGGAACUGCGACCCAGUCCCAACUCCUACGGGAGGGUGCAGUGAGGAAUAUUGGUCAAUGGGCGAGGGCCUGACACAGCCAAGUAGCGUGCAGGAUGCCGGCCCUAUGGGUGGUCAACUGCUCUUAUAAGGGAAUAAAGUGGGUCACGUGUGACUUUUUGCAUGUACCUUAUGAAUAAGGACCGGCUAAUUCCGUG
rnacentral:rRNA from 1 species